CCUACGGGAGGCUGCAGUGGGGAAUAUUGGACAAUGGGGGGAACCCUGAUCCAGCCAUGCCGCGUGUGUGAAGAAGGCCCUCGGGUUGUAAAGCACUUUCAGUGAGGAAGAACGCCUGGUGGUUAAUACCCAUCAGGAAAGACAUCACUCACAGAAGAAGCACCGGCUAACUCCGUGCCAGCAGCCGCGGUAAUACGGAGGGUGCGAGCGUUAAUCGGAAUUACUGGGCGUAAAGCGCGCGUAGGUGGCUUGAUAAGCCGGUUGUGAAAGCCCCGGGCUCAACCUGGGAACGGCAUCCGGAACUGUCAAGCUAGAGUGCAGGAGAGGAAGGUAGAAUUCCCGGUGUAGCGGUGAAAUGCGUAGAGAUCGGGAGGAAUACCAGUGGCGAAGGCGGCCUUCUGGACUGACACUGACACUGAGGUGCGAGAGCGUGGGUAGCAAACAGGAUUAGAUAUCCCGGUAGUC
rnacentral:rRNA from 1 species